CACACUCCUCCUAGGGUGGUGGGAAAAGGUUACCGUGACAUGGUCCAAGGGGGUCUAGUGCAGGUGCCCAAGAAAAACAGCAGGGACAGGGCAAGACCCUGGGAAGCAGCUAUGGGCUGCUUGUAUCGGUGUGGCUGUCACAGUGCUUGCUGCCUCGUUUCUCAGAGCUAAUCAUGGGAAGCGUAACUAGUCCAGGCGGCAGGGCAAGUUUACAACAACUGACAGUAACUAUAACAUACGCCAGUUUGUAUUAAGAUGUUAUUGCACCUUUCCAGUUCUAAUCACCAAUUAUGACUCUAUUACUCCUGCUUGGCAGUUCAUCUGCUCCCACCUCCACUAAGGGCGACUUGGAGACGGACCUCUGAUCUCCUGGUUCCACUUCGGUGAGUGCUCAGCACGGCGGCUGUCAUUUGCAGACACUGAAGAGAAUGUAAAUGAUUAAAGAGACCCCAUCAUAUGAAACUGAAGAAUGAAAUGUUUAAAGCAGUACAGAUUCUACACAAGUUGGUAUAUGAAGAAGCAAAAAAGCCCAGCUCAGUAAAAGACCUCGGUAUUUCACAUGGGAAAUUUGAAUAUUACUACCUAAGGUAUUUUAUGACAUGGGUGAUUUUAUGACAUGAAAAUCAAACUUUACCAUUCAAAAUCAAUCUCUACCACAUUUUCUGGGGAAAAAGCAAAAUAAAAGGUGACUUUUAUUCUUUUUUACCUUCCCAUUUUUAAAAAACAAAACAAAAUAUCAGCAAAUUCUAGAGAUUCUACACAUUCUGAGAAAAAAAAAAAAACAGAAUAAUAUUUUACAUGGGCUUUAAAAUGGUUUGGGAGACUUACCUAGUUUCACAACCUGGAAAAAAAUAGUCUGGUGUUUCCGGCCAGUUUUUGAAACUCAAAUCCAAUCUGGGCAACACAAAUUUUUUUAAAAAGAAAAUGUGGAUCAUCGAUUAACAUGGGCACCCUCUACUAAAGCAACAUGAAGACAGAUACUUGUCUUUAGGAAACACUGUCCACACUUUGCUUUACCCUUUUCAUAAGCUUUCUUAUUAAAGGACUAAAUCUUAUCCACAUCCUGAAGCAGAAAUGCAGGGAUCUAUAACGAAAACAUAAAAGGUGCAUUCGAUGCCUCUCUCAGUCCAGAAAGAAGAGAGACCAGAAGAACAAAGAUGGGGUGCAGACAGGGGAAGAGCAAGUCAUGCACAGAGCCAUAGAGAGCAGAUUCCUGGCUUCAACCGGUCACCAAAAGCCCCAGAAAAGCCAAACAAAAUUCAACUUCCAGAGUGCGUUGGGCAGGCUGGAAGGUGACCCUCAGUGACCCCUUUCUCCUGGUCCUCACACCACUAUGAAAUCCCCUUGAACAAGGUCAGACCCGGUGACUUGCUUCUAAGGAGUGGGAACAUGGCAAAAGCAAUGAGAUGACACUUGUGUACUUAAGUUCCAGAGGUCUGUGACUUCCGCUUUGCUGGGGGAAUCUGUCCUUCUUGGCUUACAGAAAGCAAGCUGCCAGGCUCGAGAGGCCAACGCUUCAAGGACCCAAACACCACGGAAGAACCAAAGUCCUCAAACUACUGGCCCUCAAGAAACUUAGUCCACAUGGGCUUGGGAGAUUCUACCCCCAUGAGAUGACUCUUGCCACCUUAAGUGUAGCCUGUGAGACCCAAAAGCAGAGGGCACCUUAAGCCAGGCCCAGUUCCUGACCCAUGGAAACUGUGGGGUAAUAAAUAAGUAUCGUGCUAAACUGUUAGAUGAGGGCCUCAUUGUCAUGCAGUGAUAGAUAACAAACACAUAAAGUUAUUAUGAAUUUCUACCUUUCUGUGUUACUCAAACCAGGAAUAUUUACCGCUCUAUUUUGAAGGCCUAUGGUUAGUCUUUCUAUCAGCUUUACAAAACAUGAGCAGAAGUGGCCACCUACUUACAGACCACGGGAUCAAUGUAGGAACUGGGGACAGGAGAAGAACAGGGCCAUCUGUCCUAGAACUUCUAAUAGCUUCUGUUGCUAUUCUUGGCCGCUAAUAGCUUAGAACAAAGUUUGCUUUCCCUCACGGUCCCCUUCCAACUCCCUGGUGAUAGUUGCAUAGGUUUAGGAAAUACAACCUGUGCAAAUCUUAUCUUUCUCAAGGACACAUUCACUUAUGCAUUAGUUUUUACCUCUCAUUAAUUCCUAAUUUCUUACCACUGUUAUUUGGAACCAUGGAUUAAGAGGGGUGAUCAGCAUGUAUGCAUAUAUAUAUAUAUAUAUAUAUACGUAUACACAUAUAUAUAUACGUAUACACAUAUAUAUAUAUACACGUAUACACAUAUAUAUAUAUGCAUGAAUGAAUAAAGUAACUACAGAUACACCUUUGCUUCUAGCAAAUUUAGACUGCAUUCCAUCCCUGCCACUUACAAGCAAGUAACAUAAGAUAAUUCUAAACUUCAGUUUCCAGCCAGGCAUGGUGGCACAUGCUUAUAAUUCUAGCAUCAGAAGUCUAAGGCAGAAGGAUAUUGAGUUCCACGCCAGCCCAAGCUAUGUAGCAAGUUCAAGACCAGCCUAGACUAUACAGUGAGACCCUGUCUCAAAUAAAGCAGCAAAACAAAACAAAACCUAAAAACCUACUUCAAUUUCCUCAUCUAUAAAAAGACAAAAACGAUUUCCUAGAAUUUUUAUAAUUGCUGUGAUGAUGAAGUAAGUUGCUCAGCAGAGAAUGACGAAUGUAUGGCACGUGCUUAAGAAAUAACUAUAUUUUCACAGAAUUAAUAUAUUAUUAUCAUUAUAAUCAGAGAUAUGUACACAUGUACACUUCUUCUGUCUUCUGUGAUUUUGAAAAAUCCAUUGCUCAUAUCCCCUUUCAAGGCUGUACAGCAAAACCAACUGGACCAGACUUCAAUAGUAUCAAACAGUCUGACUGCUUGGAGGAAGGAGAAGAAAAGGGGAUGAACAAAAGAAAUAAGAUGUAAUAUGUGCACGUACCAAUUCCACACAAGGACUGUAAACACUAUGUGCUGCAAAUAUAUACUAGUAAAAAAUAAAUAAAAUGUUAAAAGAAGAAAAAGAAAGAAAAAAAUGCUCAUUUACAAAGAACUUUUUAUCUGGAAGGAACUAUAAUGGACAGAGGAUAAAGAAGAAUAAAUAAGACCGUGAACUCCCAACACAGUAAAUAAAGCAGAAUAAUAAGACAUAGAAUAAUACAUCUAAAUUAAUAUAUAUCUGGUCCGAUAAUCAGUGAUCACCAACUAGUGAUAAAAUACAACAUAAUGAGCAUUUUUAUGGAGCAAUAAUGAAGAAGUCUAAUAAUCAUUAUACUACCAAUAACAAUAGUAGUAAAAUGAUCACAACAAUAACAAUACCUGCUGGCAUUUCCUGAGUUUUUAUUAUGCGCCAGAAAUGCUUCUGAGUACUUUCCAGCCUCCCCAUGUCCACUCCUCAGAAAUAUUGCCAGUGGUGGGCGUUGGCCAACGUCACAGCAAUGCCAGGCAAGGGUCAGAAACUUCAGGACACAGAGCAGGCAGGUGGCAAGACUCCAAAGCCCAGACAUCAGCCACACUUCCUCUCUGAGUUUCGAAAAUAAAUACUUUGUUGAUUAUAAAA